rnacentral:rRNA from 1 species
UACAGAGGGGGCAAGCGUUGUUCGGAAUUACUGGGCGUAAAGCGUGCGCAGGCGGCUUUGCAAGACAGAUGUGAAAUCCCCGGGCUUAACCUGGGAACUGCAUUUGUGACUGCAUGGCUAGAGUGCGGCAGAGGGGAUGGAAUUCCGCGGUGUAGCAGUGAAAUGCGUAGAUAUGCGGAGGAACACCGAUGGCGAAGGCAAUCCCCUGGGCCUGCACUGACGCUC